GAAAUGCGAUACGUAAUGUGAAUUGCAGAAUUCAGUGAAUCAUCGAAUCUUUGAACGCACCUUGCGCCCCUUGGCAUUCCGAGGGGCACACCCGUUUGAGUGUCGUGAAUUCCUCAACCUUCUGCAUUUCUUGAUGGCAGAAGGCUUGGACUUUGGAGGUUCUUGCUGGCCUCUCCUUCUAGAAGCCAGCUCCUCUUAAACGGAUUAGCAGGGUCUGCCUUUAGCUGAUCCUUGACGUGAUAAGCCAUUUCUACGUCUCGGAUUCGACUCUUUUGAGACCUGCUUCUAAUCGUCCGAGUCGCCCUUUCUUAACGGGGCGUACUUUUGGACCCACGAACCAUUUGACCUCAAAUCGGGUGAGACUACCCGCUGAACUUAA
rnacentral:rRNA from 1 species